AGCCAUUUUUUUUAAUGGAAAAACCUUGGAUAGUGAUUUCCUUAAAAAAUUAGGACUAUGUGUUUAGAAGACAGAGAAUUAACAGAUAUAGAACAAAAUAUCUGUAACUCUGAUGAGUAGAAAAUCAGAGAAGUAGUCCUAAAACCACAUAAGCAGACAAUGAAUUGCAAUCUCCUAGGGGAAGCAGGGGCAGCCAAGAGAAAGAGCUACCAUAUAAGGGUGAGAGUUGACACUGAACAUCGAAGAGAGUUCUACAGUAUGUAGAAGCAAGACAUGAAUAGUAGCUGACAGAGCCUGGAGUUUUGAAAGUGCUGUUUAUCCAGCGGGCAGCUCAGCGCUACAGAACUGUUUCCUGCUGGAGAGAGAAUCAGAAUAAAAAAAACAACAAAGUAGAACACUUGGGUUCAGAUAAAAACUAUUUACUAAGGCAGAAAAUGAAGAGAAAUUGAAAAUAAUGAUAGUAAUGAUAGUAAUAUAUAUAUGUAUAACACAAAUGAUGCACAGCACAAUUACUCACCACCUACCAAUCAAUGCCCAGACAGCCAACUCCUCAUUGUUUUACAAACUUUUUUUUUUUUUUUUUUUUUUUUUUUUUGUAUGAUGCUAUCUGUUAUGUAAUAUCUCUUUGGCAAGUUCAGAUCUGUCCUGGUUCUGUCUCCUGCCAGCUUUCUGUGCCCCAUCAGCUCCCCUUGCUGGCAGAACAGUACAAGAUACUGAAACAUCCUUGGCUCUAUGUAGCCACUCCUCAGCAACAACUGAAGUAUUGGUCUGCUAUAGAUGUUGUUUCUCUCCCAAAGCCAAAACAUCACAUCAUACCAGGCACAAUAAAUAGAAGAAAAAAGAAAAAGAAAAAAAAAAAUCAACUCUGUCCCAGCUGAAACCAGGACAGAAGGGCAUGGACCUGAUUACUACACAGUGAGAAAAAAUAAAAGCAGAUUUUAUCUAGACCACUAUGUGCCUGGAUAUGUUUAUCUAUGUAUUAGAUAUAAUAAAAUGUAAGCAGAACCCUAUGAAACACCAGCUUAUGCAUAAUGUUUAUUAUUUCAAAUUUGCUUCUGAAAAGUUAACUCGUGUGAGGCAAAACUUAGAGUCAAGGGGUUUGCAAACUACAGGGGUUGUUGCCAGUCUGGAUGCCAGCAACUGAGUCAUGGGUUGUCAGAUCUCAGGCCUCCAAGAAUGGUCCAGUUAGUCCAUCUGAGUGAGAUGUGGGAAACCAAAUGUAAUCAUCUGCUGAGUGAAGACUGUAGACUGACAUCUUCGAAUAUCCCUGGCUUGGAGCUGAUAAAUGGAUGCAUUCCUUCAGCUCCUCUUGUUGGCUAUUCUCAGUUCCAGGUACCUGUCUGGAAGAGAAGAAGAACUACGGUCCCCAAGAGCCUUUUCAAGUACUGUUAUCAUUCCUGCUCAAGGGAACAGAUAUAAGGGCGCAGGUCAUCUGACUCGGCCCUCUUCUCAUCUUGCUGUGUUCCCUGCCGGAUCGGCUCGCUACUGCUGCUCCUGACUGCAUGCAAGGCUUCAGUAUUAGCGUGAGGCCUUUGGCUCUCGGACAAUCUUUCUCUCAAUUAUUGUUGAUUUAUAUUGCAUUAUAGUGUGUUAUCUUACAUUCCGAUACUAUAUUUAGUAAAUUAGUUUGUUU
ensembl:lncRNA